rnacentral:rRNA from 1 species
UACGGAGGGUGCUAGCGUUGUUCGGAAUUACUGGGCGUAAAGCGCGUGUAGGCGGCCGAUUAAGUCUGGUGUGAAAGCCCGGGGCUCACCCCCGGAAGUGCGCUGGAAACUGGUCGGCUAGAGUAUGGGAGAGGAAAGUGGAAUUCCCGGUGUAGCGGUGAAAUGCGUAGAUAUCGGGGAGGAACACCAGCGGCGAAGGCGGCUUUCUGGACCAAUACUGACGCUGAGACGGCGAAAAGCGUGGGGGAGCAAACAGGGAUUAAGAAACCC